rnacentral:rRNA from 1 species
CAGAGAUGAGAGGGUGCCUUCGGGAACACUGAGACAGGUGCUGCAUGGCUGUCGUCAGCUCGUGUUGUGAGAUGUUGGGUUAAGUCCCGCAACGAGCGCAACCCUUAUCCUUAGUUGCCAGCACGUAAUGGUGGGAACUCUGGGGAGACUGCCGGUGACAAACCGGAGGAAGGUGGGGACGACGUCAAGUCAUCAUGGCCCUUACGGGAUGGGCUACACACGUGCUACAAUGGCGCAUACAAAGGGCAGCAAGCCAGCGAUGGUUAGCGAAUCUCAUAAAGUGCGUUGUGUUGUAGUCUGGAUCGGAGUCUGCAACUCGACUCCGUGAAGUCGAUAUCGAUAGUUAUGGUGAAUCAGAAUGCCACGGUGAAUACGUUCCCGGGCCUUGUACACACCGCCCGUCACACCAAGGGAGUGGGGUGCACCAGAAGUGGUUGGUUUAACCUUCGGGAGAACGAUCACCACGGUGUGGUUCAUGACU